rnacentral:rRNA from 1 species
UACGAAGGGGGCUAGCGUUGCUCGGAAUCACUGGGCGUAAAGGGUGCGUAGGCGGGUCUUUAAGUCAGGGGUUAAAUCCUGGAGCUCAACUCCAGAACUGCCUUUAAUACUGAGGAUCUUGAGUUCGGGAGAGGUGAGUGGAACUGCGAGUGUAGAGGUGAAAUUCGUAGAUAUUCGCAAGAACACCAGUGGCGAAGGCGGCUCACUGGCCCGAUACUGACGCUGAGGCACGAAAGCGUGGGGAGCAAACAGG